AAUUCUCAACCGUUAUUAAUUUAGCGGCUUGGAUGUGUGGGUUGCCGGCUUACGUCAGCUCCCAUCAAAUGCAUUAGCCGGUGCCGUACGGGCGUCUAUUUUGGUGUGAUAAUUAUCUACGCUGGUGGACUCUGUCAUUUGCACUGCUUCUAACCGUCUUUUGAAGACAAAUAAUGACA
rnacentral:misc_RNA from 1 species